rnacentral:rRNA from 1 species
AGCAGCCGCGGUAAUUCCAACUCCAAUAGCGUAUAUUAAAGUUGCUGCAGUUAAAAGCUCGUAGUUGAAUUUCGGGACUGAUAUGUCGGUCGUGCCUCGGUACGUACUGGUAUUUUUGGUUUCUCCCUUCUGACGAACCUUGAUGUCAUUAAUUUGGUGUCUUGGGAAAUCAGGACUGUUACUUUGAAAAAUUAGAGUGUUUAAAGCAGGCUCACGCUUGAAUACAUUAGCAUGGAAUAAUGAAAUAGGACGUUUGAUUCUAUUUUGUUGGUUUCUAGGAUCGACGUAAUGAUUAAUAGGGAUAGUUGGGGCAUUAGUAUUCAAUUGUCAGAGGUGAAAUUCUUGGAUUUAUUGAAGACUAACUACUGCGAAAGCAAUUUGCCAAGGAUGUUUUCAUUAAUCAAGAACGAAAGUUAGGGAUCGAAGACGAUCAGAUACCGUCGUA